CUACUAAUGUGUAACAAAUGAUCUUCAAACUCAGUGACUUAAAAGAAUAAUCGUAUUAUGUUAACAAAUUCUGAGGCUCAGAAAUUUAGAAAGGAUAUAGCGAGGACAGCUUGACUCUGUUCCACAAUAUCUGGACCCUCAGCUGCAACGAUUGUAAGGCUGGGAGUGACACCCAGAAGCACCCACUUACACGCCCAGCACCUAGGCUUGGAGGCAAAAAACCAGUCUUCAUGGGUGCUCUCUGAGUUGUCAAUUACAUGACUUGUGCUUCGUUUGAAUGCAUAUACUUUACAGGCAAGGUAACUGGGGCCUGCAGUUGUUAACAAGUCACAGAUGCCAAAGUUCA
rnacentral:lncRNA from 1 species